CCUACGGGCGGCAGCAGUGGGGAAUAUUGGGCAAUGGGCGCAAGCCUGACCCAGCAACGCCGCGUGAAGGAAGAAGGCUUUCGGGUUGUAAACUUCCUUUAAGAGGGAAGAGCAGAAGACGGUAUCUCUUGAAUAAGCCAUGGCUAACUACGUGCCAGCAGCCGCGGUCAUACGUAGGUGGCAAGCGGUGUCCGGAUUUACUGGGUGUAAAGGGCGGGUAGCCGGGCUGACAAGUCAGGUGUGAAAUUCCGGGGCUCAACCCCGGCCCUGCAGUUGAAACUGUUGGUCUUGAGUAUCGGGGAGGCAGGCGGAAUUCCUGGUGUAGCGGUGAAAUGCGUAGAUAUUAGGAAGAACACCAGUGGCGAAGGCGGCCUGCUGGACGACAACUGACGGUGAGGCGCGAAAGCGUGGGGAGCAAACAGGAUUAGAUACCCUGGUAGUC
rnacentral:rRNA from 1 species